UACAGAGGGGGCUAGCGUUGUUCGGAAUUACUGGGCGUAAAGCGCGCGUAGGCGGACCUGCAAGUCGGGGGUGAAAGCCCGAGGCUCAACCUCGGAACUGCCUUCGAUACUGCGGGUCUCGAGUCCGGGAGAGGUGAGUGGAAUUCCUAGUGUAGAGGUGAAAUUCGUAGAUAUUAGGAAGAACACCAGUGGCGAAGGCGGCUCACUGGCCCGGUACUGACGCUGAGGCGCGAAAGCGUGGGGAGCAAACAGG
rnacentral:rRNA from 1 species